AUGAACGCUGGCGGCGUGCCUAAUACAUGCAAGUCGAGCGAACGGACGAGAAGCUUGCUUCUCUGAUGUUAGCGGCGGACGGGUGAGUAACACGUGGAUAACCUACCUAUAAGACUGGGAUAACUUCGGGAAACCGGAGCUAAUACCGGAUAAUAUUUUGAACCGCAUGGUUCAAAAGUGAAAGACGGUCUUGCUGUCACUUAUAGAUGGAUCCGCGCUGCAUUAGCUAGUUGGUAAGGUAACGGCUUACCAAGGCAACGAUGCAUAGCCGACCUGAGAGGGGGAGCCGCCCCACUGGAACCGAGAACACGGCCAGACCCCCAAGGGAGGGAGCAGGGGGGAAUUUUGCCGAAGGGGCGAAAGCCUGACGGAGCAAAGCCCCGGGGGUGAAGAAGGUUUUUGGGUUCGAAAACCCUUGUAUUUGGGAAGAAAAAAAGGGGGAGAAAACUUUGCCCAUUUGAAGGGACCCAAAGAAAAAGCCCCGGCCAAAUUAGGG
rnacentral:rRNA from 1 species